rnacentral:rRNA from 1 species
CAAUAGCGUAUAUUAAAGUUGUUGCAGUUAAAAAGCUCGUAGUUGGAUUUCGGGGCAGCCUGGCUGGUCCGCCGCAAGGCGAGUACUGGUCAGCCGCCCUUCCUCUCGAAAGCCCCGACUGCUCUUCGUUGCAGUGGUCGGGUAGUUCGGGACGUUUACUUUGAAAAAAUUAGAGUGUUCAAGGCAGGCCUACGCCUGAAUACAUUAGCAUGGAAUAAUGGAAGAGGACCUCGGUCCUAUUUUGUUGGUUUCCAGGGCCGAAGUAAUGAUUAAGAGGGACAGUUGGGGGCAUUCGUAUUUAAUCGUCAGAGGUGAAAUUCUCGGAUUUAUGAAAGACGAACAACUGCGAAAGCAUUUGCCAAGGAUGUUUUCAUUAA